rnacentral:rRNA from 1 species
UCAAGCGAGAAAGGGUCCAUGGUGGAUGCCUUGGAGCUAUCCGACGAAGAAGGCCGCGGUAAGCUGCGAAAAGCCAGGGGGAGGAGCAAACAUCCUAUAAUCCCUGGGUAGCCGAAUGGGGUAACCCGACAGAGCGAACCUCUGUCAUCGUGCGAUGAAUACAUAGUCGUAUGAAGUGAGACGCGGGGAACUGAACCAUCUAAGUACCUGCAGGAAAAGAAAUCAAAGAGAUUCCCUUAGUAGCGGCGAGCGAAGCGGGAGGAGCCUAAACCACACUGUUUCGGCAGCUGUGGGGUUGUAGGGCAUCUUGGCUAGGAGUAAGAAAUCGAUUUUAUAGCGGAACGCUACUGGAAAGGGCGACCAAAGAGGGUGACGGUCCCGUACGCGAAAUGAAAUUGACUCUCAAGAUGUACCUGAGUAAGACGGAUCACGAGGAAUUUUGUCUGAAUCUAGGGAGACCACUCUCUAAGGCUAAAUACGAGAUAGCUACCGAUAGUGAACGAGUACCGUGAGGGAAGUGGUGAAAAGCACCCCGGGAGGGGAGUGAAAGAGAACCUGAAACCGUGGACCUACAAGCGGUCAAAGCCUCGCAAGGGGUGAUGGCGUGCCUUUUGUAGAAUGAGCCUGCGAGUUACCGUAGUUAGCAAGGUUAAAGGAUAGAAGUCCUGGAGCCGGAGUGAAAGCGAGCCUGAAUAGGGCGAUAAGUUAGCUGCGGUAGACCCGAAGCCGAGUGAUCUACCUAUGGCCAGGUUGAAGCUUCAGUAAAAUGAAGUGGAGGACCGAACUCUAGUCUGUUUAAAAAGGCAGGGAUGAGCUGUGGGUAGGGGUGAAAGGCUAAUCAAACUCGGAUAUAGCUGGUACUCCUUGAAAUGGAUUUAGGUUCAGCGUUGGAUGGUUUUUAUCGGAGGUAGAGCACUGAUUAGGCUAGGGCCCGUCACUGGGUACCAAACUUAGUCAAACUCCGAAUGCCGAUAAACAAAGUCCGGCAGUGAGACUGUGGGUGAUAAGAUUCAUGGUCGAGAGGGGAACAGCCCAGACCGUCGGUUAAGGUCCCAAAACUAUGCUAAGUGGAAAAGGAAGUGCAGCGGCUGAGACAGCCAGGAUGUUGGCUUAGAAGCAGCCACUCAUUUAAAGAGUGCGUAAUAGCUCACUGGUCGAGUCGUUGUGCGCCGAUAAUGUAACGGGGCUAAGCAUAGUACCGAAACUGCGGAUCAGUAGUAAUACUGGUGGUAAAGGAGCAUUCCCGAGGGCGUUGAAGUUGUGGUGAGAACCAUGGUGGAGCUAAGGGAAGAGAGAAUGCAGGCAUGAGUAACGAAAAGGCAGGUGAGAUUCCUGCCCGCCGAAAAUCUAAGGUUUCCUGGGUGAAGGCAAUCUUCCCAGGGUUAGUCGGUUCCUAAGGCGAGGCCGAGAGGCGUAGUCGAUGGGAAACGGGUUAAUAUUCCCGUACCUUUUUAUGGUCUGAUGGGAUGACGCAUAGGAUGAAGUACUGCCCCUUAUUGGAUUGGGGUCUAAGCAGUAGGCCGUUGAGACUGGUAGGCAAAUCCGCCGGUUGAGGUGAGCUGUAAAAGAUAGUGGAGAUUCGUCGAAGCGAAGAGUAUGGAGUCGUCGUGCCAAGAAAUAAUCUCUAGGGUUAAAUCAUAGAAAGACCGUACCGCAAACCGACACAGGUGGAUGGGAUGAAUAUUCUAAGGCGCACGGGAGAACUCGCGUUAAGGAACUCGGCAAAAUACAUACGUAACUUCGGGAAAAGUAUGACCAAUGCAAGUUGGUAGCAUAAAAUUGGCCCAAGCGACUGUUUACCAAAAACACAGGUCUCUGCAAAUUCGUAAGAAGAAGUAUAGGGGCUGACACCUCCCCGGUGCUGGAAGGUUAAGGGGAGUUGUUAGGCGCAAGCCGAAGCAGCGAACUGAAGCCCCAGUAUACGGCGGCCGUAACUAUAACGGUCCUAAGGUAGCGAAAUUCCUUGUCGGGUAAGUUCCGACCCGCACGAAUGGUGUAACGACUUGGGCACUGUCUCAACGCGAGACCCGGUGAAAUUGACGUACCUGUGAAGAUGCAGGUUACCUG